rnacentral:rRNA from 1 species
CCUACGGGUGGCAGCAGUGGGGAAUAUUGCACAAUGGGGGAAACCCUGAUGCAGCGACGCCGCGUGAGCGAUGAAGUAUUUCGGUAUGUAAAGCUCUUUCAGCAGGGAAGAAAAUGACGGUACCUGACUAAUAAGCCCCGGCUAACUACGUGCAAGCAGCCGCGGUCAUACGUAGGGGGCAAGCGUUAUCCGGAUUUACUGGGUGUAACUGGAGCGUAGACGGCUUGGCAAGUCUGAUGCGAAAGGCUGGGGCUCAACCCCAGUACUGCAGUUGAAACUGGCCUGCUAGAGUGUGGGAGAGGCAGGCGGAAUUCCUAGUGUAGCGGUGAAAUGCGUAGAUAUUAGGAGGAACACCAGUGGCGAAGGCGGCCUGCUGGACGAUGACUGACGUUGAGGCGCGAAAGCGUGGGGAGCAAACAGGAUUAGAUACCCUAGUAGUC